CACCUCUGGUGGACCUGUCGUGGCGCCAGCCGCGCAGCAGGGUAGCUAAGUGUGGACGGGAUAACCGCUGAAAGCAUCUAAGCGGGAAACCCACCUCAAAACAAGGCUUCGCCGAGAGCCGUGGUAGACCACCACGUUGAUAGGCCAGGUGUGGAAGCGCCGCGAGGCGUGUAGCUUACUGGUACUAAUCGCUCGAUCGGCUUGAUCGU
rnacentral:rRNA from 1 species